UACGUAGGGCGCAAGCGUUAUCCGGAAUUAUUGGGCGUAAAGAGCUCGUAGGCGGUCUGUCACGUCGGCUGUGAAAACCCGAGGCUCAACCUCGGGCCUGCAGUCGAUACGGGCAAACUAGAGUACUGCAGGGGAGACUGGAAUUCCUGGUGUAGCGGUGAAAUGCGCAGAUAUCAGGAGGGAACACCGGUGGCGAAGGCGGGUCUCUGGGCAGUAACUGACGCUGAGGAGCGAAAGCGUGGGGAGCGAACAGG
rnacentral:rRNA from 1 species